rnacentral:lncRNA from 1 species
GAAUGCAUUACGCGGUAACCGUAACCGUGGGCUGGUUUCCCAGAGAGAACCGGUGUCCUAGAUCUCUCUGGACCCCGGGAAACUCUCCUCAGACCGGGUUUCUUAGCUGUGGGCCUGGGAGAGUCGGCAGUCAGCAGCCCAGCGGUGGGCACCGCAGCCCGGCAUCCCUGGAACUUCCCAGGUGUCCCACUCCUCAGCCAGUUCUGCUCACCUGUGAGUUUGAACUAAGAGCCCUGGAUGGUGAAGAGAAGAAGCUGUAGCAAAGGAUCCAGAGUUGCCAUGGACAUGGAGUCUCUUCACAGCAGUCAACUCUAACUAAGACAACAUUCAUCAAGGAGCUCCUUUCCCAAAACACAGUAUUGUUUCAACAUCUAUUUAUCUUGCCUUCUGCAUGGCACACAGUUAAGGUAUGUAUCAGAAAGUUUUUGUUAAUUCUUCUGAUCAUCCACAAAAGGAUAUUUCAUUAACAACAACAAGCUGAGAGUGUCAUUCUGGAGAAUGGUUAGUUUACUAAUAGUAACAAAUAUAACCAGAAAUUGGUUAUUGGCAAUUUUCAGUAGUGCAACAAUCUCUAUUAGCUUUAUUUGUAUUCAUUUUCCAGUGAAUGUUCACAUAUGUGGUAAAUAUGGGCAAGUCUUAAAUAGAAGGCCCAAAGCAUUUUGCCCAUCAGUGUGUGAAUACCCAAGAGAAGUCUUACACACAUAAUGAUCUUGGGAAUGAUUUAUGAAUCCUCACAGUGUAUACUUUUUUUUUUAACACAAAUGAUACUACAGAAAAUUGUAAUAAAUGCUGACAUAUUAACUAUAGAUAUUAUUCUAUUGACACAUUAAGCAUGAACAGUCAUAAAAGUUUGCAUAUUGGAGAAGGACUUUAUGAAUAUAAAGACUGACAAGUGUUUUAAUUUGUAUUCAAACAUCAAAGUCCAAUAAUAAACCCACCCUAGACAACAGUGCACAAAAGAAGAGACUGAUAACUACUUUGAUACUAAGUACAACUUGUGAUAAAAACAAAUCUAUAUUGGAAAAAAACCUACCAAUGCAGGAAAUUCAACAACAAUGGACUGCCUUCCAGAGAGAAUGUGACAGGGAUAAGCUCCCAGCCUUCUCCAAAGCUGAAAGCCAACUACAAUGAAAUGUUUUCCUUUAUGAGAUGUGUAGUGGUCAUGGAGUCUCUUCACAUAUACUCUUCUUUUAGCUGCCUAUGAGACAGUCUUCUGUUUGCCUUCAGAACAGGAUGUAGAACUCUCAGCUCCUCCAGCACCAUGCCUGGCUGGAUGCUGCUAUGCUCCCUGCCAUGAUGAUAAUGGACUGAACCUUCGAACCUAUAUGACUACACCUAUUAAAUAUCC